CCUACGGGAGGCAGCAGUGGGGAAUUUUGGACAAUGGGCGAAAGCCUGAUCCAGCAAUGCCGCGUGAGUGAAGAAGGCCUUCGGGUUGUAAAGCUCUUUUGUCAGGGAAGAAACGGUGAAAGCUAAUAUCUUUUGCUAAUGACGGUACCUGAAGAAUAAGCACCGGCUAACUACGUGCCAGCAGCCGCGGUAAUACGUAGGGUGCAAGCGUUAAUCGGAAUUACUGGGCGUAAAGCGUGCGCAGGCGGUUUUGUAAGUCUGAUGUGAAAUCCCCGGGCUCAACCUGGGAAUUGCAUUGGAGACUGCAAGGCUAGAAUCUGGCAGAGGGGGGUAGAAUUCCACGUGUAGCAGUGAAAUGCGUAGAUAUGUGGAGGAACACCGAUGGCGAAGGCAGCCCCCUGGGUCAAGAUUGACGCUCAUGCACGAAAGCGUGGGGAGCAAACAGGAUUAGAUACCCUGGUAGUCCACGCCCUAAACGAUGUCUACUAGUUGUCGGGUCUUAAUUGACUUGGUAACGCAGCUAACGCGUGAAGUAGACCGCCUGGGGAGUACGGUCGCAAGAUUAAAACUCAAAAGUAGUAGUAGCGNGAGAGAGCGACGACGACGACGAGGAGGAGGAG
rnacentral:rRNA from 1 species